UAGGGAAUCUUCGGCAAUGGACGGAAGUCUGACCGAGCAACGCCGCGUGAGUGAAGAAGGUUUUCGGAUCGUAAAGCUCUGUUGUAAGAGAAGAACGAGUGUGAGAGUGGAAAGUUCACACUGUGACGGUAUCUUACCAGAAAGGGACGGCUAACUACGUGCCAGCAGCCGCGGUAAUACGUAGGUCCCGAGCGUUGUCCGGAUUUAUUGGGCGUAAAGCGAGCGCAGGCGGUUAGAUAAGCCUGAAGUUAAAGGCUGUGGCUUAACCAUAGUAGGCUUUGGAAACUGUUUAACUUGAGUGCAAGAGGGGAGAGUGGAAUUCCAUGUGUAGCGGUGAAAUGCGUAGAUAUAUGGAGGAACACCGGUGGCGAAAGCGGCUCUCUGGCUUGUAACUGACGCUGAGGCUCGAAAGCGUGGGGAGCAAACAGGAUUAGAUACCCUGGUAGUCCACGCUGUAAACGAUGAGUGCUAGGUGUUAGACCCUUUCCGGGGUUUAGUGCCGUAGCUAACGCAUUAAGCACUCCGCCUGGGGAGUACGACCGCAAGGUUG
rnacentral:rRNA from 1 species